rnacentral:rRNA from 1 species
GCAGGGUGAGUCGACCCCUAAGGCGAGGCCGAAAGGCGUAGUCGAUGGGAAACGGGUUAAUAUUCCCGUACUUGGUGUUACUGCGAAGGGGGGACGGAGAAGGCUAUGUUGGCCGGGCGACGGUUGUCCCGGUUUAAGCGUGUAGGUGUGUGUUCCAGGUAAAUCCGGUUCACUUUAACACUGAGGCGUGAUGACGAGGCACUACGGUGCUGAAGCAACAAAUGCCCUGCUUCCAGGAAAAGCCUCUAAGCAUCAGGUAACAUCAAAUCGUACCCCAAACCGACACAGGUGGUCAGGUAGAGAAUACCAAGGCGCUUGAGAGAACUCGGGUGAAGGAACUAGGCAAAAUGGUGCCGUAACUUCGGGAGAAGGCACGCUGACACGUAGGUGAAGUGAUUUACUCAUGGAGCUGAAGUCAGUCGAAGAUACCAGCUGGCUGCAACUGUUUAUUAAAAACACAGCACUGUGCAAACACGAAAGUGGACGUAUACGGUGUGACGCCUGCCCGGUGCCGGAAGGUUAAUUGAUGGGGUCAGCGCAAGCGAAGCUCCUGAUCGAAGCCCCGGUAAACGGCGGCCGUAACUAUAACGGUCCUAAGGUAGCGAAAUUCCUUGUCGGGUAAGUUCCGACCUGCACGAAUGGCGUAAUGAUGGCCAGGCUGUCUCCACCCGAGACUCAGUGAAAUUGAACUCGCUGUGAAGAUGCAGUGUACCCGCGGCAAGACGGAAAGACCCCGUGAACCUUUACUAUAGCUUGACACUGAACAUUGAGCCUUGAUGUGUAGGAUAGGUGGGAGGCUUUGAAGUGUGGACGCCAGUCUGCAUGGAGCCGGCCUUGAAAUACCACCCUUUAAUGUUUGAUGUUCUAACGUGGACCCGUGAUCCGGGUUGCGGACAGUGUCUGGUGGGUAGUUUGACUGGGGCGGUCUCCUCCUAAAGAGUAACGGAGGAGCACGAAGGUUGGCUAAUCCUGGUCGGACAUCAGGAGGUUAGUGCAAUGGCAUAAGCCAGCUUGACUGCGAGCGUGACGGCGCGAGCAGGUGCGAAAGCAGGUCAUAGUGAUCCGGUGGUUCUGAAUGGAAGGGCCAUCGCUCAACGGAUAAAAGGUACUCCGGGGAUAACAGGCUGAUACCGCCCAAGAGUUCAUAUCGACGGCGGUGUUUGGCACCUCGAUGUCGGCUCAUCACAUCCUGGGGCUGAAGUAGGUCCCAAGGGUAUGGCUGUUCGCCAUUUAAAGUGGUACGCGAGCUGGGUUUAGAACGUCGUGAGACAGUUCGGUCCCUAUCUGCCGUGGGCGCUGGAGAACUGAGGGGGGCUGCUCCUAGUACGAGAGGACCGGAGUGGACGCAUCACUGGUGUUCGGGUUGUCAUGCCAAUGGCACUGCCCGGUAGCUAAAUGCGGAAGAGAUAAGUGCUGAAAGCAUCUAAGCACGAAACUUGCCCCGAGAUGAGUUCUCCCUGAGACUUUAGGUCUCCUGAAGGAACGUUGAAGACGACGACGUUGAUAGGCCGGGUGUGUAAGCGCAGCGAUGCGUUGAGCUAACCGGUACUAAUGAACCGUGAGGCUUAACCUUACA